rnacentral:misc_RNA from 1 species
CAUAAUAAGUGUUUUAUGGCACUUUUUUAAAUCCAUAUCCACCUUGUGUGCAAUGUCAGUCGAUCUCUUCAUGGAGAUCGACCAAACAUCAACCUUUAUCUUUUAACUCUUUGUCUGAAAAAUAUUAUGAAUAUAAACAAUUCAAAAUA